GGACGGGCCCCGCCGAACCAUGCGACCGGACGGUCGCACGGGCCGGGGAACCACCGCAGUACUGGGGUGAAUCACGCCCGCGUUCCUGGACGCGGGCGGGUAGGGCACUUCCGGCCCGAACCCGUCAGCUAACUCGGUAGGCGGUCGCGAGGAACA
rnacentral:sRNA from 2 species